AAAGACUACAUUUUUCAACCACAUGCAAUUUGACAGCGUUGAACGUCGAGCACAGGAUGUAUCAGAGGUUACAGAUUCAUAAUUACACGAAUAAACUUACUAUAUUUCGAGCUAGUAAUCGUAUUUUUCACGCGAUCGGAGGAUUUUCAUCAAUUGCACGACUCACGUUUGGUAUAGGAUUGGUUCAUUCCGUUCGAGAGCGAGCAGUGAUUUUUGGUGUGCUUUUGAAGGUUCGCAGUGCUCGAAGGAGAGCAAAUAGGUGAAUUCAGUUUUUAGUGGGCUGUUUUGGCCCAGUCCCGGGUGAGGAUGAUUUGGGAAAUGAAACAUUACCGGGUGUUGUUCCUCUCAGUAUUGACUGGUUUAGCUUUUUUCGAUCGCUUGAUUUGCCAGACACAAGAUUCGCCGCUUCUCCACGACACAGUGAAUAUAGACUCACAACCAUCCUUUGGUACCGUGGAAUUCAUCAAGAUCGAUAAAAACUCCGGCAAAAUACCUCUGCUCAGUUUUCAUUUUACUCAACGGAAAAUCAUCGACAAUUCUAUGAAGGUGUCUAUUACAGUGUUCAUGAAGAUGACGGAAAAUCAAAAAGAUUACACGAAACUUCUACAAACGCAAGGUCCGGCUUGUGAUCUGUGUAAAAAAUCCCUUACUAUGAAGUCGUUCGGAAGGUUUGGAAAUCUCACAGGAGAAUGUCCCAAAAGCCCUGGUGAAUACUACGUGACGAACCACUAUUUCGCGCAGACAGAUUUUCCGCCGAUCCCGGGGCGUCGCAUUAAAGUGACGGUGAGGAUUUUCCGACCGGAGACCGAAAACGAUGCGCUCCAGUUCACCUGGACCGGAAAAGUGAGCCCGAGACAAGGCUCCAUCCUCAAAGUUCUCAAUAGACCUGCUGGCUUUUAAGACUCUGAAUAUUGUUACAUAGAGCCAGAGUACCUGUAUACAGGAUAGUAUUGCCAUCUCAAUUCUUUUACUACAGAAAAGUGUGCCGCUCUCUGAUUGGUCGGCUAUCAUGGAGCCCCAAAGUUGGCCCAAUGUAAACAAAGCCCAGCCCCUCCGCUCCUAGUUUGGCCCAAAGUAAACAGACAAGAUGGCGACAAAGUUCUACAAAGUUCUGGACGUGAUUUUGGAUAUGAUAGAAAUUGUUUAUAAUCAACUUCUGAAUUGAGCUCGGAUCGAACUUUGAUGGAUGUUUUUGCGGAAAAUUAACCUUUGAGUGUGAUUAUCAUUUAUUUCUCAGCCGAUAAUACGUGUUCCUGUAGGUCGGGUUUGUUUAUACGCAUUGGGCUGACUUUGGAGCUCCAUGAUAGCCUAAAACUGAUGAACCAAUCAGAGAGCGGCACAGAGGUGGCAAUACUCUCUCGUAGGUAGGUACUCUAGAUAAGGCAAGAUACAGCAAGCAUGUGAAAAAUGUUAGAUACAGCAACCACUCCGAACUUUUCAGAAAAAUCUGUACCAUGGUUUUCUGGUGACAAAAUGGAAAUAAACUAUCCAAUGUUUUGCAGUAUUCUGUUCUUCACUCAUUCCGCCCAGUUUUCCUUCAAUACCCCAGUUAGGCCAUUUGACCUACUUGAGAGCUAUGAUAGACGACGCUUGCAGAAAUUCAACUACUUCCAUUCGUUUUAAUCAUAGCUUCAGUGCUUUGAUACUCUUCUCCCUAUUAUGAUUUGCGCUCAUUUCGUUCAUCUUGCUCUCAAUAUUCUGAUCAGGCAAUAUGAGUGCAAAGGAGCUGUAAAAGUC
rnacentral:lncRNA from 1 species